UACGGAGGGUGCAAGCGUUAAUCGGAAUUACUGGGCGUAAAGCGUGCGCAGGCGGUUUGUUAAGUCUGGUGUGAAAUCCCCGAGCUCAACUUGGGAAUUGCAAUGGAUACUGGCAGGCUGGAGUAUGGUAGAGGAAGGUGGAAUUCCCGGUGUAGCAGUGAAAUGCGUAGAGAUCGGGAGGAACACCAGUGGCGAAGGCGGCCUUCUGGACCAAUACUGACGCUCAUGCACGAAAGCGUGGGGAGCAAACAGG
rnacentral:rRNA from 1 species